rnacentral:sRNA from 1 species
AGCUCAGUGUCCCAUUGUGGAGCGCCUGACUAACUCCAUGAUGAUGCACGGCCGCAACAACGGCAAGAAGCUCAUGACUGUGCGCAUCGUCAAGCAUGCCUUCGAGAUCAUACACCUGCUCACAGGCGAGGUAGGGCUCUGUGGCCUGGUGAGGGUAGGCUGUGCCCUCAGUACACCCCAAAGCCCCACGGAGUGUAUGCCAGGCUUAUCCCCUGUGUGGUGUGGCCACUCUUGUUUUAGGUGUGAGAAAAGGGGAGGAAUGCAUGGGGCUGGAUGUCAGGCUCAUAUCCCCCUUCUCUCUAGAACCCUCUGCAGGUCCUGGUGAAUGCCAUCAUCAACAGUGGUCCCCGGGAGGACUCCACACGCAUUGGGCGCGCCGGGACUGUGAGACGACAGGCUGUGGAUGUGUCCCCACUGCGCCGUGUGAACCAGGUGAGCCUGGGGCUUAUGCACGUGGCAGGGUGGACACAACCACAGGAGUGGGUGGGGUCUUGCCUGGGGCAGGAAGGCUCGUCUCUGUCUGCAUGUUUUACCUGCAGCAUCACUUCCUCUAGGAAGCCUUCCUGGAUUCCCACCCUGCAUAGGGGCUGAUCCAGGCUCUGGGUCCUCUUCUGGAUCACAUUUGGCAGAGGUCUUCUUUCUUUCCUUUGGGUGUAUUAUUUUUACACUGUGUGUGUAUAUGUACUUUUUUCUUUUUUUUUUCUUGGACAUUUUGAGAAUCAGUUGCAGACAUUUUGAUUGUGUUUCCCCUGAACACAACAGGUGUCUUAAGAACAAAGAUGACCUACCCGCAUCGUCACCCCCAGGAAGGAAUUUAACAGCAAUAGUCGUCGUUCCAUGUAGCAUCUGUGCCCAGAAUGCCAGAAUGCACUUUAUAGUGGCUCAUUGUCAAUUGGGUCCAAGUUAAAAGCAAAUAUAUUGCCUUUUUUUUUUUUUUUUUAAUUUUUUUAAAGAAAUAAUUGAGAUGGAAUCUCAGGGUGUUCUUGAACUCCUGGUCUCAAAUGAUCCUGUCCCUUCAGCCUCCCAAAGUGCUAGGAUUACAGGCAUGAGCCACCACACCUGGCCGCCUUUUUUGUUGUCGUUGGUUUUUUUGUUGUUUGUAGAGGUGGGGUUUCACCAAGUUGCUCAGGCUGGUCUCAAACUCCCUGCCGAAGUGUUCCUCCUGCCUCAGCAUCCUGAAGUGUUACAGGCGCAAGCCACCGCGCCCGGCCGUCUAGCAGUUUGCUGUUGAGGCAGGUCUCAAUCUCCUGUCAUUGGGGACGCAACUUCAGCCUGUGUGUGUGUGUGUCUGGACACUUGCUCUUGUGACCCUCUAUCUGAUUGCAAAUCAGGCAUGAUGCCACCUCCUCUUGUCUCAGUGGGCCUAUGGGUGACAACAUGGCUGGCAGCAUCAGUUGGGGGUGGGCCCAGGGUGCUGGAGGACCGCAGUCUGUCCUUUUAGCCUGACCCCUGCUCUCUUCCUAGGCCAUCUGGCUGCUGUGCACAGGCGCUCGUGAGGCUGCCUUCCGGAACAUUAAGACCAUUGCUGAGUGCCUGGCAGAUGAGCUCAUCAAUGCUGCCAAGGUGGGUGAGGGCACUCUGGUUGGGGGGGUCUUAAGUUGGGCAUUUGUGGGGGUCCUUCAGAAUUCAGAGCUAACUGUCUGUCUCCUUGCAGGGCUCCUCCAACUCUUAUGCCAUUAAGAAGAAGGACGAGCUGGAGCGUGUGGCCAAGUCCAACCGCUGAUUUUCCCAGCUGCUGCCCAAUAAACCUGUCUGCCCUUUGGGGCAGCCCCACC